rnacentral:misc_RNA from 1 species
UCUCCGUAGGUGAACCUGCGGAGGGAUCAUUACAGAGUUCUCGCCCACACGGGUAGAUCUCCCACCCACUGUUAUCGUUACUGUCGUUUCUUUGGCGGGCCGCCGGGUCCCCGGCCGCCGGCGCCUAGCUGCCGGCGCGCGCCCGCCAGAGGCCUUCAAACUCUGAAUGUUAGUGUCGUCUGAGUACUAUAUAAUAGUUAAAACUUUCAACAACGGAUCUCUUGGUUCUG